rnacentral:sRNA from 1 species
ACCACUCUUUUAUGAGUUAAGGUCAUACGGACAGCCGGGUUCACUGCCGA